CACCUAUUGAUAUAAACUUGUAAUCGCAAAUUUUAAUGUGAUAUAACUACAAUGGUUAUCGGAUCUUUCUUUACUUGUGCUAUAAGACAUUGCUUCUUGCCAAACACGAUUCUAGGGCAGCGAGACCCUAUAGAUUUGGAUUUCCUUGCGAGUG